UACGUAGGGCGCAAGCGUUGUCCGGAAUUAUUGGGCGUAAAGAGCGUGUAGGCGGCCAUACAGGUCAGCUGUGAAAACUCGAGGCUCAACCUCGAGACGUCGGUUGAAACCGUUUGGCUAGAGUCCGGAAGAGGAGAGCGGAAUUCCCGGUGUAGAGGUGAAAUUCGUAGAUAUCGGGAGGAACACCAGUGGCGAAGGCGGCUCUCUGGGCAGAUACCGACGCUGAGACGCGAAAGCGUGGGAAGCAAACAGG
rnacentral:rRNA from 1 species